GGAGAGGUGUCCGAGUUGGUUUAAGGGGCACGCCUGGAGAGCGUGUGUACGGUUCCCGUACCCAGGGUUCGAAUCCCUGCCUCUCCGCCA
rnacentral:tRNA from 1 species